CUCAGGACGAACGCUGGCGGCGUGCCUAAUGCAUGCAAGUCGCACGACCCAGACUUCGGUCUGGAGAGUGGCGCACGGCUGAGGAACACGUGGGUAACCUACCCCGGCGUGGGGGACAACGGCCCGAAAGGGUCGCUAAUCCCGCAUACGCUCCUACGGGAGGAAAGCAGUGAUGCGCGCUGGGAUGGGCCUGCGGCCCAUCAGGUCGUUGGUGGGGUAAUGGCUCACCAAGCCAAUGACGGGUCCCUGGUCUGAGAGGACGACCAGGCAGACUGGGACUGAGACACGGCCCAGACUCCUACGGGAGGCAGCAGCAAGGAAUUUUCCGCAAUGGGCGCAAGCCUGACGGAGCAACGCCGCGUGCCGGAUGACGGCCUUCGGGUUGUAAACGGCUUUUAUCGGGGAAGAAACGGACGGUACCCGGUGAAUAAGCCCCGGCUAACUCCGUGCCAGCAGCCGCGGUAAUACGGAGGGGGCAAGCGUUGUCCGGACUUACUGGGCGUAAAGCGUGCGUAGGCGGCAGCGUGCGUCGGGACUGAAAGCGCCCCACUUAACGGGGCGAGGUGUCUCGAUACGACGCAGCUCGAGGCAGUGAGAGGUUGGUAGAAUUCCGGGUGUAGUUGUGAAAUGCGUAGAUAUCCGGAGGAAUGCCGGUGGCGUAAGCGACCAACUGGCACUGGCCUGACGCUGAGGCACGAAAGCGUGGGGAGCAAACCGGAUUAGAUACCCGGGUAGUCCACGCCGUAAACGAUGUCGGCUUGGUGUAUGGGGGUGUGAAAGCAUCCUUGAGUACCGUAGCUCACGCGAUAAGCCGACCGACUGGGGACUACGAGCGCAAGCUUAAAACUCAAAGGAAUUGACGGGGGC
rnacentral:rRNA from 1 species